AUUUAUAUAGUAUAAUUUAUUAUAUUUGACUUCCAAUCAAAAGACCUAGAAUUCUAGUAUAAAUA
rnacentral:tRNA from 1 species